UGCGUAGGCGGUUAUAUUAGUCGGGUGUUAAAUCCUAGGGCUCAACCCUAGACUCGCAUUCGAAACGGUAUAACUAGAAGAAGUCAGAGGUAAGCAGAACUCUCGGUGUAGGGGUGAAAUCCGUUGAUAUCGAGGGGAAUACCAAAUGCGAAGGCAGCUUACUGGGACUUUCUUGACGCUGAGGCACGAAAGCAUGGGUAGCGAACG
rnacentral:rRNA from 1 species